GACGAAGGCUGGCGGCGUGCCUAAUACAUGCAAGUAGAACGCACAGUAUAUACUCUAGCUUGAUACACCAUAGACUGUGAGUUGUGAACGGGUGAGUAACGCGUAGGUAACCUGCCUGGUAGCGGGGGAUAACUAUUUGAAACGAUAGCUAAUACCGCAUAAUAUUAACCCAUGCAUGAUAAUUGAGCGAAAGGUGCAAAUGCAUCACUACCAGAUGGACCUGCGUUGUAUUAGCUAGUAGGUGAGGUAACGGCUCACCUAGGCGACGAUCCAUAGCCGACCUGAGAGGGUGAUCGGCCACACUGGGACUGAGACACGGCCCAGACUCCUACGGGAGGCAGCAGUAGGGAAUCUUCGGCAAUGGACGAAAGUCU
rnacentral:rRNA from 1 species